rnacentral:tRNA from 1 species
UCUUCCGUAGUAUAGUGGUCAGUAUGCAAGCUUGUCAAACACAAUAACGCUUGAGACCCGGGUUCAAUUCCCGGCGGGAGAG